UACUCAUCAUAGAUAUUAGAGUACAUAGGGAUUGGAAACGGGCCGUAGCAACAGGGAAAUGCUAGUUGAUAGUACCGUAAAUAAUUUCUCUAAAUACUCGUAUGUAAAAUUAAAAUGGCUGAAAGUUGAAAAAGGUAACCCUUCAAUAAUGUUUAGAGACAUUCUUCCUGUUUGCCCAAGCUGUCUGCUGUAGCAAUGUAUCUGUUUGUAGUUUAAAUUCAGUGUUUUAUGAAUUAGCAAUCAUUAUUGAUCACAUUUACUACAUUUAGUUCUAUUUUAUGUUUUGUACAACCUAUUGAAUAGAAAUGGUGUUGGCGACCUCCGGUGUGUUCUAAGCAAUACGAUGAUGUGAUAGCUAAUGUCACAGACCCUUUGGUUUUUAUGUUAAGGGUACAAAACAAACCUCUCAAACUAAUCAGUAAAUCUAUUGUUACAGAAAGAUGCAACCGUAUUUCCAAACGAAACAUAGUGGGCGACCUCCACAUUAUGAAUCUCUAUUGAGUGGUUGAAGCAAAUAUUCACUGCAAAUGAUGAUACUAGCAACAUAAAAAUUAGUCUGGGGAUAGAUGCUAGUCUCUUCUGCUUCCUUUGAUAUAAAUAAUGAUGUAUAGUGACACCACUGCUGGAAUGACAGGUCUCAAUAAGACAACUCUUGCUCAAAGACAGCCUCCGUUGCUAGGCGUUGCUAGAUGCAAAUGUCAACUAGCAUCCGUAUCCUAGCGAUGUAUACGGAGAUGCCCCGUUUCCAAUCCCUCUGUACUCUA